UGAUAUUUAACCGUUUUUACCUUGGCUGCCAAGAUUACACUGAUUUAUGUAUUCACUGCAGUAAUUUUAGUUAAAUAUGCUUGUUAAACUUAAUAUAUGUUUGCUAAAAUAAGUUAUCUUUUAAUAUCAUGCUCUAAUUUAAACAUAGCAUUGAUAACAAACUACGUUGCAUGUUUUAAACAUUUUGUUAAACUUUUUAAAAUUGUGUGCGCAACUGCCGCUGGCCCCUCUCGCCCAUUGUCCCUUUGUUCACAUUCCUUCACAUUCCUUCCUAUUGUUCGCAAGCCAGCAUCCCGGUCCUGCGCCAUUUUUCUUAACAAAAGACUUUGUAUCCAGUCACAGGAAAACAGCUUCCUAUGGGAGAAUAAGAUGUAAGAUGUGUAAAUGGUAGUGUGGAGACCUCAGAGCAACACUUAAUUUCAUGACCAACAGCGGUCUCCAGGUGUUGUGUGUAUCAAUCAGCCCACUGUAUCAAUCUUUUAAUAAAUUAUAAGGUCCCCACUGCUUGAUACUUCACCAAAUACUGGCUACACCAGAAGAUGACUAAAUGUUCUUAACACUUAACAACUACCACAAGCAUCACUUCUGGGCCACUGAAGGGUCCAAUCGUUCAAUUACGGAAAUGAUAAAGUUAAUGAAAUUGCUCAAAAGUUGUCUGGCACCUUCUUAACUCAGAGACAUAGGAAUGUGGAUGGAUUAUGACAUACCUUGCACAAAUCAACAACCAGGCUUUUAUUGGAUUUGAAUCCCAAAGGAAAGAGAAAGUCUGUUAUCCAAAACAAACAUGGAAAAUAUCAGAAACCAACAAAGCACAAGCAGGCAGAAUGUCAUGGACCCAACUUUAGGGAAUCUCCCAAAACCAAGUAUAAAAAGAGAGAGGUGUGGUUGUGUCUCUCAGCUCCACA